GCGGGGCAACCUGGCGGCGAGCGGCGAACGGGUGAGUAAUGCAUCGGAACAUGUCCAAUUGUGGGGGAUAGCCCGGCGAAAGCCGGAUUAAUACCGCAUGAGCCCGAGAGGGGAAAGUGGGGGACCGCAAGGCCUCACGCGAUUGGGUUGGCCGAUGUCCGAUUAGCUAGUUGGCGGGGUAAAGGCCCACCAAGGCGAUGAUCGGUAGCUGGUCUGAGAGGAUGAUCAGCCACACUGGGACUGAGACACGGCCCAGACUCCUACGGGAGGCAGCAGUGGGGAAUUUUGGACAAUGGGGGAAACCCUGAUCCAGCCAUUCCGCGUGAGUGAAGAAGGCCUUCGGGUUGUAAAGCUCUUUUGUCCGGAACGAAACGGCUACGACUAAUACUCGUGGCUACUGACGGUACCGGAAGAAUAAGCACCGGCUAACUACGUGCCAGCAGCCGCGGUAAUACGUAGGGUGCGAGCGUUAAUCGGAAUUACUGGGCGUAAAGCGUGCGCAGGCGGUUUUGCAAGCCAGAUGUGAAAUCCCCGGGCUCAACCUGGGAAUGGCAUUUGGGACUGCAAGGCUGGAGUGUGGCAGAGGAGACUGGAAUUCCUGGUGUAGCAGUGAAAUGCGUAGAUAUCAGGAGGAAUACCGAUGGCGAAGGCAGGUCUCUGGGCUGACACUGACGCUCAUGCACGAAAGCGUGGGGAGCAAACAGGAUUAGAUACCCUGGUAGUCCACGCCCUAAACGAUGUCGACUGGUUGUUGGGGGUUUGACACUCUCAGUAACGAAGCUAACGCGUGAAGUCGACC
rnacentral:rRNA from 1 species